rnacentral:rRNA from 1 species
AAGUCGGACGGGAUUGAGGKAGWAGCUUGCUWYGAUUUSAUGAGAGUGGCGCACGGGUGCGUAACGCGUGAGCAACCUACCCAUAUCAGGGGGAUAGCCUCUCGAAAGAGAGAUUAACACCGCAUAACAUCAUUAACCGGCAUCGGAUUAUGAUCAAAUAUUUAUAGGAUAUGGAUGGGCUCGCGUGACAUUAGCUAGUUGGAGAGGUAACGGCUCACCAAGGCUACGAUGUCUAGGGGCUCUGAGAGGAGAAUCCCCCACACUGGUACUGAGACACGGACCAGACUCCUACGGGAGGCAGCAGUAAGGAAUAUUGGUCAAUGGAGGCAACUCUGAACCAGCCAUGCCGCGUGCAGGAUGACUGCCCUAUGGGUUGUAAACUGCUUUUGUCAGGGAAUAAACCUUUCUACGUGUAGAAAGCUGAAUGUACCUGAAGAAUAAGGAUCGGCUAACUCCGUGCCAGCAGCCGCGGUAAUACGGAGGAUCCAAGCGUUAUCCGGAUUUAUUGGGUUUAAAGGGUGCGUAGGCGGUCCUAUAAGUCAGUGGUGAAAGACGGCAGCUUAACUGUCGCAGUGCCUUUGAUACUGUAGGACUUGAAUCUAUUUGAAGUGGGCGGAAUAAGACAAGUAGCGGUGAAAUGCAUAGAUAUGUCUUAGAACUCCGAUUGCGAAGGCAGCUCACUAAGUUAGUAUUGACGCUGAUGCACGAAAGCGUGGGGAUCAAACAGGAUUAGAUACCCUGGUAGUCCACGCCCUAAACGAUGAUAACUCGAUGUUUGCGAUACACAGUAAGCGUCCAAGCGAAAGCGUUAAGUUAUCCACCUGGGGAGUACGGUCGCAAGAUUGAAACUCAAAGGAAUUGACGGGGGCCCGCACAAGCGGAGGAGCAUGUGGUUUAAUUCGAUGAUACGCGAGGAACCUUACCCGGGCUUGAAAGUUAGUGAAUGAUCCAGAGACGGAUCAGUCCCUUCGGGACACGAAACUAGGUGCUGCAUGGCUGUCGUCAGCU